CCGAGGGAAAUUACAGUAUCGGAACAACCCGGUAGCCUGCAACAAUCGUAAAGACUUUAAAAACCGCUUGCUUCAAAAACACAAAGUUUUCAACUCAACUAGGUUUACAAACUUACUUUCCAGCUUCAAAUUCUUCUUCUUUAAUUUCUGGUAUUACUUUAAGGAGCGAUUAUUAUUCGUUGACAGCCAAAUAAUAAAUGACAAACUUACACAAUGAAUCGGUGUCUUUAUAUACCAAGAGCGCGGACCUCGAAGAGAGCACCCUAGUAACAAUUAACGCGUCUCAUAACAACCAAG
rnacentral:lncRNA from 1 species